rnacentral:rRNA from 1 species
GACGUAGGGCGCGAGCGUUGUCCGGAUUUAUUGGGCGUAAAGAGCUCGUAGGCGGCUUGUCGCGUCGUCCGUGAAAACCUGCAGCUCAACUGCAGGCUUGCGGUCGAUACGGGCAGGCUCGAGUUCGGUAGGGGAGACUGGAAUUCCUGGUGUAGAGGUGAAAUUCGUAGAUAUCAGGAGGAACACCGGUGGCGAAGGCGGCUUCUGGACGACAACUGACGCUGAGACGCGAAAGCGUGGGGAGCAAACAGGAU